rnacentral:rRNA from 1 species
CCUACGGGUGGCAGCAGUGGGGAAUAUUGGACAAUGGGAGCAACCCUGAUCCAGCCAUGCCGCGUGUGUGAAGAAGGCCCUCGGGUUGUAAAGCACUUUCAGUGAGGAAGAACGCCUGGUGGUUAAUACCCAUCAGGAAAGACAUCACUCACAGAAGAAGCACCGGCUAACUCCGUGCCAGCAGCCGCGGUAAUACGGAGGGUGCGAGCGUUAAUCGGAAUUACUGGGCGUAAAGCGCGCGUAGGUGGCUUGAUAAGCCGGUUGUGAAAGCCCCGGGCUCAACCUGGGAACGGCAUCCGGAACUGUCAAGCUAGAGUGCAGGAGAGGAAGGUAGAAUUCCCGGUGUAGCGGUGAAAUGCGUAGAGAUCGGGAGGAAUACCAGUGGCGAAGGCGGCCUUCUGGACUGACACUGACACUGAGGUGCGAAAGCGUGGGUAGCAAACAGGAUUAGAUACCCUGGUAGUC